GGUAGAAUUGCUAGGUUGUAUGGUAAUUUUAUGCUUAGUCCUUUGAGAAACUGCCAGAUUGUUUUCUAAAGGAGCUCUACCAUUUUAUAUUCCCACUAGUACU
rnacentral:pre_miRNA from 1 species